AGUGAACGCUGGCGGUAGGCCUAACACAUGCAAGUCGAACGGCAGCACAGUAAGAGCUUGCUCUUACGGGUGGCGAGUGGCGGACGGGUGAGGAAUACAUCGGAAUCUACUUUUUCGUGGGGGAUAACGUAGGGAAACUUACGCUAAUACCGCAUACGACCUACGGGUGAAAGCAGGGGAUCUUCGGACCUUGCGCGAUUGAAUGAGCCGAUGUCGGAUUAGCUAGUGGGCGGGGUAAAGGCCCACCAAGGCGACGAUCCGUAGCUGGUCUGAGAGGCUGGUCAGCCACACUGGAACGGAGACACGGUCCAGACUCCUACGGGAGGGAGCAGUGGGGAAUAUGGGACAAUGGGCGCAAGCCUGAUCCAGCCAUACCGCGUGGGUGAAGAAGGCCUUCGGGUUGCAAAGCCCUUUUGUUGGGAAAGAAAAGCAGCAGGUUAAUACCCCGCUGUUCUGACGGUACCCAAAGAAUAAGCACCGGCUAACUUCGUG
rnacentral:rRNA from 1 species